rnacentral:lncRNA from 1 species
GUAAGAAAUAAAGUUUAAAAAUAUCCAUUUUUUUAAUCAGGACAAAUUAUACCCGCUAUGCUUUCCAUUGCCAUGCCUUAAUAAACUCACCAUCAGUACCCCAUGACUAGCUUAUAUAGUAGAGUUCGUCUGAGCUGUAAAUUUAAAAAAAAUUACUGAGAUGACAGACUCUUUCAGUUCCACGAUCUUGUCUUUACAAAACAUUCCUUGAUACGCAUUGACUUUGGCAGCCUGUUCUUGCAUAUAACACCUUUUCAGAUUACAAUCUUUGAAAACGGACAUGAUUUCUUCACAAAUUAAGCAUAGUGCCAUAUUAUUUAUCUCAAGCAAAAAAGAACUGAUUUAUCCUUUUUUUUUGUUGUUGUUGAACACUAUCCAUGUUUUUUCCUUCUGGGGGGAAUUCUGUUUUCUUUAAGUGACGUUAAGUACGCUGAAAUAUUAUUGGCAAUCACUGUAUUUUACUUGCUAAGAGGCACAAGCCAAGUAAUGCGCAUUACACAUGGAUUUCAAUUCAACUGAGUGUGUGGUGGCAUGAGAAGUGUGGUUAGCCCUGCGCUGCACCCUCCCCUCCACAGCAUUCUGUUGUGACCUACGCCAUCUACACUCAAGCUACACACAACUGACUCAUGAAAAAUAUAGCUAAAAAUCACAUAACAACAUUAGAAGUUUAUGAUCUUGUGGGGUCACAUUACUGGCUGUCCAGGGCCAUAUGUGAUCUAUGGGCCACGGGUUGGACAGGCCUGCUGCAAAAGUGAAAUAGAGAGUCAGAGGUGAGAGGAAGGAGCAGCAGUUUUUUAAUGUAUUCUUAUAAGUUUGAAACUAUAGGAGUAGCUUAAAAUGUAAUGCUAAUAAAUAGCUUUAUUUUCUUCUUCCUUGUUUUCUGUCAUUGAGCAGAUGUCAAGGGCAGGGGAGCACUGAAUUACUUCUUGAAAAGGACUGUGUGGUAGAUGAGCAUGAAGAAAUGUAUAACACAGAGGUGUCUACACCACAAAAUGGAGUUUGAUGGAGAAAACAGUGCUGACCAAGAACUGACUUUAUGUAAAGCUACUCAGAUGGAAGAUUCUGAUUCAGAAGACACAGGAAGACAGGAUUGAGGAAAUGCAUAAGAUAAAUAAACCACCAGCUCUGAGCA